GCGCCCGGGUAAUUACUUUAAGCUGAAAUGGAGCGGCUCUCGUCAAAUCCACACAAUGCAAGAGGUGUGUUUGUUCAGGCAGGAGAUCACAACAGUGCUUCAUUGUACUCUUUAGUCAUGUGUUGUAUUCAAUUCAUAGAGCGUUCUUUUUCUUGGGAGAGGAAUUUCUCUUGAUAGACUACAUACAGCAAGACACAGCCACAGAAUCCCAACAACAAUCAACACACACAGAAAACACAGGAUGCACAGUGCAGAACAUCAAAUCAAAACCCUCACACACAGCCAGUAAAAACAAGCAGGGUUUAGGGAACAAUCUUGAAGAAACAUAGCAGUGGAGAAGUGAUUAAGGACUUCUCCCCCGGCUUAGCCACAUCUGGGUAGGGAAGGUCUCAGAUCUGCUACUUUUGGUGCUCGCUCUGUAGGUCUAUGAUCAGACUUUACUACAGAGACUGUGUGGUCUCACUCUGCCAGCUGGCACCUGCUGAGCUCCCAGCAUCAAGACAGGUCCCCACAUGACCUAGAUUUUUCACCUCUCCAACAGCUUCAGCCAGCUAGAUGCCUGGGAGCUGAGCUAAACAACAGUUCGUACAGGGCCUAGGGGAGCUCUACUGUGAGGAGGAAGGAUGAUUGAACGGGAGCUGGAGUAUUGUCCAGUAUAGCCAGAGAAGACAUCUCAGAGUUGUCACACAGGGGCUGAUGGGAUAGCUAGCAGAAGGGGUGGAGGACUGAGGACGCUCACAGCCAGAGUUGUGUAGGAGGCUCUCUGGAGGACUGGGUCUUGACUCUAAGGGUAUGUGAGCAUCAGUUGAACUUUUAUAUCACACUGGGAAUUUGAUCUUUCUAUUACUGUAUUUCAGUUGUUGUAUACGAUGGCCUCAAUAAUACUUUACUAAGACACUUUUGUCCAAAUCAGUUCCAACCAGUAGCUUCUGUUGCAUUAUCCGCCAUGUGAUGACUCCAACCUCCAUUGAUAAGUGACGACUCCUAGAGGGGGAAAAAAAAAAAACUUGAAAGCUGUACAUUUUUCUAUCUUUAACCAGCAAACAGAGAUACAGUAGACAUUCUAGAAUGGACUGACAUCAUUAGUUCAACAUCUGCUUCUACUUGUCAUUAGAUAGAGGUAUGGGGAGUUCUUUAGAAGAGUCUCCAGAUCAGACAGAUGUGGUGUAAAAGAUUCCUUCCUACCUGGGCCAUGGCUGACACAGUAUCCAAGAAUCCCUUUGCAGUGGAUAGGGACGCACACACACACACACACACACACACACACACACACACACACACACACACACACACACACACACCUGGGCCGUGGCUGUGGAGAGGGUCAGUCUGGUCUCCAGCAGUAGCACUCUGCUCUCCAGGUUCUCCCACUGGUGCUUGUCUAUAGUGAUACUCCCGGCCGAGGCCUUCUCUAGAAGCUCCAGCCUCUGCUCCAGGGCCAAGAGCAUCCCCAGCCUAGUCUGGAUCUGCGGCAGCUGGGCCUCCAGCACUGCCAGCCUCCCCUCCACCACCAGGUCCUGGAAGGGUGGUCACAAUCCAUUCUGUGUGUGUGUGUGUGUGUCACUUUGGUGCUGUGUGUUACAGAGAGAAGGGCCGUGUGUGUGUCUGUGCUUAUAAUUGUGGAGAAGUAUGCUGGUACUCACUGUUUGAGGGACUGUAGGUGCUUGGUUCUGGACCUCCUCCAGUCCCAGCCCCUCCUCCUCUUCCUCAGACUCUUCAUUAUCAGAGGUUCUACUAGAGGAGACCCAGGAGUCACCACCAAUGUGUCUCUCCACUAGUGGCCUGCUUAGGGACAACUGUGGGAAAGAACCAUCUCACCUAGUCAUGUUAAGGUCGGGCCAUGUACUCAUGCAGCAUUACAAUGGACAAUUUUAUUAUUUUAAAAUGUUUUAUUUAAUCUUUAUUUAACUAGGAUAGGUCAGGCCUUUUUGAUAAAGUGUAGAGAGUUGAACAGGUCUGUUGGGCUACACUGUCAUGUCCUUGGCAAAGACUUACUGUGGUAGCCAUGGGGUUCAUUGUUUCAGCCUGAAAUGGGAGAGCCUCACUUUUGGAGUCUGAACUCGAGGCCUGAAAACGAGCUCUCGGCUUUGGCUGCAACACACAGAUGCAAUACAUGGACCUUUUAUUUUACCAGGGCGAAGGAAAUGACAUCACAGAGGAUGCAGGUCUUUCUUUCUGCAAAGCCAAACUGGAGGAACUGCUGCUUGGUCAGGACGGGUUUGUAGUGGAAGAGAUCCCGCAGUACCUAGAUGUGGGUGAACAAUAGACAGUAUCACACACACACACGGCUGAAUUUGCCCUGCUGAAAAAUUGUUUCAAAUCAAAAAUACACCAUGGUUGUUUUUUCAUUCAAACAGUAAAAAAUGCAAAGAGCAAAACCAUAUUCAUUGAAUUGAAUUGAAUGUCAUUGAAAUGACAUUGCAAAGUAUCUGGUACAGGGGUUUUAAACUCAUUUUGCGCCGGGGGCCACAUUCGUUCUUCAAGAAGGUCCAGAGGGUCACACACAUUGCUUUUGCAAUUUGAUGCUACCCGACUGUCUCGGUUUCAUUUGAAUGAUUAUUAGUGAGCUGGACACAGUCAAGAAACAGUAUAAAUGUAGGUCCAUUAUAUUUUCUACAGUUUCCAUUUGGUUGUAAUCAUUUUUUUAAAAGUAUAUGGAGUUUGUUUUCCCUUCCAAAAAAUGAUGUGAAUUAAGUGUAUCGAGGCAAGGGAUACACAUGAAAAGGGAAUAAUAGGAGCUGGAACACAUAUGACAAAUCCAAACAUUCUACUGAUAAUUGUAAAACUCACUAUAGUUGACAUGAGUUCAGGGAAAGAUGGCAGUAGGUAUGACAGGAGGGCUAAAUGAGUGCUUCCCUGUUACACCGACUAUAAUGGAGAGCAAAUGGCUUGUCUCCUCUUUGCACCGUCUUCUGUAUGAAAUGCUGCUGGUGUGUCGGCCCAAUCUGUCUCCCAUAUUUUUGUGUGUGUGUGCAGGCCAGGCGAAGCAGUGACUGGGCGCCAGCCAGAGGGUCUCGCUCUUCCUUCUCCCUCUCCUCUCGCCAAAAUGAACCGAUGCUAUGAGAGGCAGAUAGCUCGCCUGCGGCUUCAGCACUAAGAGAACAGAAGACGGGAUUCUGAUCCGAGAUGAGAACUUGGACCAACAUGGAGUUCCUGUAUUUACCGCAGGAAUCAGGAUUUCAUGUGAGCCUUUAUAAAAUAAUUGCUCAAGGACGCUGUGCUGCCGACCACCGGUUGCCAGCUGGAAGGAAACACCAGAGAGUGUUUUAAAUACAGACGCUGCAGAUCAGGGCCCGCUCAGUGAAAACCCUUCUGGUUCUGAUAGCAGGGUUAACAGGCUACAGUACAGCCUCAACAAAAAGACUGAAAAACCCCUGAUGCAUGUACACAAGUCAUUCCUUCCAAGUCCUCAGUUGGUUGUGAUGAGAGAGGAGCUGUAAUAUUAGAACGUGAGAUGAAGGAAAUGGCUUAGCCUUGACCUGACCAAGCACAAUAUUGUGAAAAGGGGAAUUCCGACAGUGGGACAUUUCCCAUAGAUAAGAAUGAAUGGAAUUUCUAGACUACUUUAAGACUCCAUUCAUGUCAUUUGAGCACCACAGGAAUGAAAAGGAAUCCCACAUGUAGCCUACCUUUAACUUCUACAGGGGAAACCCUGCACUGUUUCAAAAUGACUUUAUUGGUAGUGAGUGAUGCAAUAGCAAUGUAUUCCAUGUGUGUGUAUUAGGGGAAAAUAUUGCAGUUCAGCUCAAGCUUGGAGGGGUUAAACCACAGCAGAGCGUCUGGGUAGACAGCCAUUGGCCUCAGGAGACCCCAAGGAAUAAACUGAAGUCACAGUGUG